rnacentral:tRNA from 1 species
UUCCAGGUGGCUCACUGGUAAAGAAUCUGCCUGCCAAGCAGGAGACAUGGGUUCAAUCUCUGUGCUGGGAA